rnacentral:rRNA from 1 species
CCUACGGGAGGCAGCAGUGAGGAAUAUUGGUCAAUGGACGAGAGUCUGAACCAGCCAAGUAGCGUGAAGGAUGACUGCCCUAUGGGUUGUAAACUUCUUUUAUAAAGGAAUAAAACGAGGCACGUGUGCCUUUUUGCAUGUACUUUAUGAAUAAGGAUCGGCUAACUCCGUGCCAGCAGCCGCGGUAAUACGGAGGAUCCGAGCGUUAUCCGGAUUUAUUGGGUUUAAAGGGAGCGUAGAUGGGUUGUUAAGUCAGUUGUGAAAGUUUGCGGCUCAACCGUAAAAUUGCAAUUGAUACUGGCGGUCUUGAGUACAUUUGAGGUAGGCGGAAUUCGUGGUGUAGCGGUGAAAUGCUUAGAUAUCACGAAGAACCCCGAUUGCGAAGGCAGCUUACUAAACUGUGACUGACAUUGAUGCUCGAAAGUGUGGGUAUCAAACAGGAUUAGAUACCCUGGUAGUC